GAUGAACGCUGGCGGCGUGCCUAAUACAUGCAAGUCGAGCGAACGGACGAGAAGCUUGCUUCUCUGAUGUUAGCGGCGGACGGGUGAGUAACACGUGGAUAACCUACCUAUAAGACUGGGAUAACUUCGGGAAACCGUAGCUAAUACCGGAUAAUAUUUUGAACCGCAUGGUUCAAAAGUGAAAGACGGUCUUGCUGUCACUUAUAGAUGGAUCCGCGCUGCAUUAGCUAGUUGGUAAGGUAACGGCUUACCAAGGCAACGAUGCAUAGCCGACCUGAGAGGGUGAGCGGCCACACUGGAACUGAGACACGGUCCAGACUCCUACGGGAGGCAGCAGUAGGGAAUCUUCCGCAAAGGGCGAAAGCCUGACGGAGCAACGCCGCGUGAGUGAUGAAGGUCUUCGGAUCGUAAAACUCUGUUAUUAGGGAAGAACAUAUGUGUAAGUAACUGUGCACAUCUUGACGGUACCUAAUCAGAAAGCCACGGCUAACUACGUG
rnacentral:rRNA from 1 species